rnacentral:rRNA from 1 species
AACGAACGCUGGCGGCGUGGAUAAGACAUGCAAGUCGAACGCUGAUUUCAGGGUAGCAAUAUUCUGGAGUCGGAGUGGCGCAAGGGUGCGUAACACGUGGGUAAUUUGCCAUGAAGCCCGGAAUAACUCGCUGAAAGGCGAGCUAAUACCGGAUGUGAUCUUCGGGAGGCAUCUCCUGAACCUCAAAGCUGGGGACCGUAAGGCCUGGCACUUCUUGAUAAGCCCGCGGCCUAUCAGCUAGUUGGUGAGGUAACGGCUCACCAAGGCUAAGACGGGUAGCUGGUCUGAGAGGACGACCAGUCACACUGGAACUGAGACACGGUCCAGACACCUACGGGUGCAGCAGUCGAGAAUUUUUCUCAAUGGGCGAAAGCCUGAAGGAGCGACGCCGCGUGGGGAUGAAUGGCUUCGGCCCCUAAACCCCUGUCAUUUGCGAACAAACCUCGUG